rnacentral:lncRNA from 1 species
AAAUUAAAAUCGUACCUUUUGUCGUGAUUUUGAUAUCUAAACGUGGAUUAUAGACGGUGGUUCUUGUAGAGUUAGACCGGGACUCCCGUUAUGUUAUAUAUAUGGGUAAAUUGCAUUGUUACCCUUUGAACUUUUGGCGAAGUUUCACUUUACCCCUAGAACUCCUAAAACGGACAUCUAACCUCCUAAACUUUAAUAUUUCAUUCAUGUUAUCUCUUCUGUCAGCUUUCCGUCAAGCUCCGUUAACCGGAAACUGACGGAAGAGGUAAACCGAAUGAAAUAUUAGAGUUUAGGAUGUUAGAUGUCUAUUUUAGGAGUUUGGGGGGUUAAGUAAAAUUCGCCAAAAGUUCAGGAGGUAGCAGUGCAAUUUACCCCUUAGGACUCUUGAUUAUAAAUUAUUUUAUUAUGAUAUGUUACUUAUGGAUUGACUACUAACUCUCAAGUUAGUAAUCAUGCUUGAUCUUGAAUUUAUAUAU